GGGGAGCGUUGGGGGCUCCGUGCGGUGCGGGUUACGUGCGGGUGCUGAGAAGGAUGUCCGGCCGAGGAGGCGGUGGCGGUGCUGGUGCUUGGGAGGCCCGGGCCGGGCGGUUUCCUCUGCGUAAAGGUGCUGCGGAGGUGCUGGCGGCUGCGGCGGGCUGCUGAAACGAGGUGCCAAAAAUGUCCUGGCAGGGCUCGCUGUCUGCGCCGGGUCCGGCCUGUCCGUGCGGUGCUGGAGGCCGGCAGCACGCUGAGAUGUGAACAAAGGUGACCCCUAGGUUGAAGUUUCUUCAAGGAUGUCUUGGUCUGGAAUGUGGUUUAACAGCACAGGUGUCAUUGAUUGGAAAUGCUGUAUACUGACAAACCUAUGGAAUCCUGUCUUGUCAGAGUCCUUAACAGAGCUGAGCAGCAGUGGUGGUCUGAGCUUGGCUCACCGUGGUGGGAAGUAGUCAUGAGGACCUGUGGUUAGUCUCCUGUUGGAAGAUGAAGAUACUCUGUUCUUAUCUGUACCUCCUGGUUUUUAAUGUUCGAGUACAAAGAAGUUGAUGUUGUGAGUAAUCACUGCAGUUAAUGUUUGAUUUUUGAAUGUGGUUCACAUAUUUAUCCAAUUCCUUUGGUGCUGAAAGUCAUCUGUUGUUAAUUAUGUGACCAACAAAUUGUAAGUACGGGUUUGCACAUAGAAGCUGAUCAUGUGUCAGGAUCUUUGGCCCAAAUCUGAAAUGCUAAAGGCACUCACUUCUGGAAGAUGCUGAAACUUUAUUGAAUUAUGUUUUUACGAGCUUCUUUAUGAUUAUCUUUUAGGUAUUUUCUGAUCUAAUGUUGAAAAGCUAUUUAGUGUAACUGCAGUUAAGUGAUUUCAUCUCAAAUGUUUAUUUUGCUAUGCACAUCUCUUCCCCCUUUUCUUUUUUUAAUGUGAAGUGCUACAGCUUUACUUUAAGUUUAUAUGGAAAGCAACUAUACUUUAAGAAGUAUGCAGGAGGAUUUCCCAUGUCUGUAAACAUACUGGGUAGUUGAGCAUUUGCUGAAAUGAGCUGCCAAUUGUUUUCUGUCUUAUAAUACUCCUUUGUAGAUCUGCUGGUAUCUGGCUUGUCCCUGCUGCAUCUAUACAAUGCGUUCCUUCAUGUUUUGUGUAACAUCUUCCUCAGUCAUUUCUGUGUAUGUAAAUACAGAAACUGG
rnacentral:lncRNA from 7 species